ensembl:lncRNA
GAGGAGGGCAGCAAUACGCCUUUGAAGCGUCCAAGCUGCCGCAAAUCACACAGAAGAAAAUCGCGCCCGCGAACGCAUCGAUCAGAAUGAGAGCGCGCCCAUCAAUGAGCUUCAUCCGGCUGCAGUGCUAUACGGGACUUGCUCGGGAAGAAUGUCUCCAAAGAAGCGUGUUUUUUUUGGUUGUAAGGGAAAGAUAACUUGUUCAGCUUCCCAAGGAACCCAGCGUUAUGUAAACGGUGGAUAAAGUUGUUUUCCGGGGCAGCAACGGAGUUUCACGAGUUUUGUUGUUGACGAACGUUUAUAAACAAGACCCAGGUCGACGCUGGAUUUGCACAUCGUUUGAUACCGAAGAUGGAGUGGUCCCAGUUAUAAAAGAUCCCGGUCGUGACUCAGACGAGAUUCAGAUGGACUCUUUGCUGGUCUUUGAAGCAUCCAAGUACACUCCUGGGUACAUUUCACACUCUCUAAUACAUUUUUGAGGUAAAUGCAUUCAUAGCAGGAGGUUAGGACUGAUGAAUGCAGGGUCAAAGAAGCAGGGCGGGGCUUCAUGUACUGUACAGCAUCGUCCUUUAUCCCACACUCUCCAUCCUUUCACAUAAUGAGGCCCAGGGGCUGGUAAAAUGUAAAUACAGCAAUUACAACUUUGGAGCUCUGGCCCAAGGGGUUGCCCUCUACACAGAGCGCUGAACGGUGGGUGAGUUUGACUGCG